rnacentral:rRNA from 2 species
UACGAAGGGGGCUAGCGUUGCUCGGAAUUACUGGGCGUAAAGGGCGCGUAGGCGGACAGCUUAGUCAGAGGUGAAAGCCCAGGGCUCAACCUUGGAACUGCCUUUGAUACUGGCUGUCUUGAGUUUGGGAGAGGUGUGUGGAACUCCGAGUGUAGAGGUGAAAUUCGUAGAUAUUCGGAAGAACACCAGUGGCGAAGGCGACACACUGGCCCAAUACUGACGCUGAGGCGCGAAAGCGUGGGGAGCAAACAGG